ensembl:lncRNA
UUGUAAAACAAAUUUUCUUUGCACUUGGCAUUUGUAUUGAUUUAGUGAAACCAAUGACAUCACAAAUGGUUAGGUCUCAAGAAAAAGAGAAAGACAAGAAAGCCUUCAACUGAAUUUGGUCAUCCAAAUUUAUGGCCUAACUGAGCUAGGGCCUAACUCUGAGGCUAUGCAUGUAUCCUGCAGUACUUCUUGAGCAGAAGAAAUCAUUUUUUUUUCCAACUCCCAAGAACAUCAGCUGCAUUUGUGUUCUUAGUGACUGUAGGGCUCCUCAUUUUUAUCUCCUCAAGCAUAGCUUGUGGAAUUCUGUUUUCCACCGUGAGGGGAAAUGGAGGUCAUCUUGUAUAGAAAACAUGAUGGACAGUGUCCAUGCUGAGUGAACUGACAGCACGUAGGACAGCCACUCUCAAGCAUGCUGUAUUUAAGCUGUGUUAAGAAUGGGAGCUGAGAGAAAGGAUAAGCAAUGAAAGAGUGUAAUGUUAAAAGCAAGCAUCCAUGCUCCUCACGGUGUACCCUUUCUUAUAAACAACAUGAGGAAAAAUACUGGUCAAAUCUGGAACUCCUUCAUCAUCAGCCCUCCACAAGAAAAAGAAAAAAUACCCACCCCUAAAGUUUAACAGCUAUUUAGUCAGAAUUUUUGCCUAGAAAUUACUUUCUGUCCUAGAUCGGAGUAUCCAUUAUUUAUUUCUUGAAGAAUUAUGGUAAAAAUACAGAUCUACUUUACUGAGGUGCUGUUCUUUCAGAGAUAAAUGCAACCAUUUCUCAGAUAUUUCUUUUAAAACUAAAAUUAAGUGGGAGAGUAAAAAAAAUAGAAAUUAAUUAUGUAUUUCUUGCAAAUGACACUCCAGUUUUCUGAAGAGUGCAGGUGCUUCCUCCUUGUCUCCUACUUUUAUCUCUCAGUUCACUAGAUGUCGGAUGUUUUCUUAGGAUUGCUUACCUGUGAGAGCACUCCAGUUAAAACCAGCAAGAAGCCAGAUUGGUAACAGAAGAGGAAGUAAAGUUUGUACAAAGCUGCUUGCAGGAGAUAGAAAGCUAUCAAAGGUGCAGCUCAGCAUUGCAGUUUCUUCGGACUGAAGUGGUUCACUUUGAAUGGGGCAAGCAAAUGAAACAGGCUGAAGGUGCUGCUAUUUGGAAAACAACAGCUGCAGAGCUGUUGAUUGUUGGCAAGGAACACAACUGCCAUCCCCAUAUUCAGCAGGAGUGCGAUCCUUGAAACAGAGUGCUUCAAAGCAGGGACAGGGAAUACCGCUGACUGCACAACACCGUGCUAAGGCUCUGGAGAAAGAACCGUGUCCACUCCCCAGCUCUGUCUGCCAAGAGUGACAAUCAGCAAAACAUGAACUUUCUGGUGAAAUGCUGAGAACAACAACCCAAAAUGGUGAAAAUUUCAGAACUGCCAUGCCCUCACAAAACAAAGAGACACCCUGAGACCUCCUG